rnacentral:rRNA from 1 species
GUCUAUGGCCAUGCCACCCUGAACAAGCCUGAUCCCAUCUGAUCUUGGAAGCUAAGCAGGGUCGGGCCUGGUUAGUACUUGCAUGAGAGACCACCUAGGAAGACCAGGUGCUGUAGGCA